rnacentral:rRNA from 1 species
UUGGUAUUGCACAAUUGGGCCGAAAGCCUGAGCAGCAACGCCGCGUGUAGGGACGACGGCCUUCGGGUUGUAAACCUCUUUUAGUAGGGAAGAAGCGAAAGUGACGGUACCUGCAGAAAAAGCACCGGCUAACUACGUGCCAGCAGCCGCGGUAAUACGUAGGGUGCAAGCGUUGUCCGGAAUUAUUGGGCGUAAAGAGCUCGUAGGCGGUUUGUCGCGUCUGCUGUGAAAACCCGAGGCUCAACCUCGGGCCUGCAGUGGGUACGGGCAGACUAGAGUGCGGUAGGGGAGAUUGGAAUUCCUGGUGUAGCGGUGGAAUGCGCAGAUAUCAGGAGGAACACCAAUGGCGAAGGCAGAUCUCUGGGCCGUAACUGACGCUGAGGAGCGAAAGCAUGGGGAGCGAACAGGAUUAGAUACCCUGGUAGUCCAUGCCGUAAACGUUGGGAACUAGAUGUGGGGACCAUUCCACGGUCUCCGUGUCGCAGCUAACGCAUUAAGUUCCCCGCCUGGGGAGUACGGCCGCAAAGGCUAAAACUUGAAGGAACUGGACGGGGGCCC